AGGAUACUCUGUUGCUGCUGGGAAUUUUAAUAAAGACAACAUCCCAGAUUAUGUUGUUGGCGUCUGUGCACACCGCAGGCUCUGUCAAAAUAAUAAAGCAACUGUGCCCCUGCAAAUCAUGAA